rnacentral:rRNA from 1 species
UGAGGAAUAUUGGUCAAUGGGCGGAAGCCUGAACCAGCCAAGUAGCGUGCAGGACGACGGCCCUAUGGGUUGUAAACUGCUUUUAUGCGGGGAUAAAGUGGGCCACGCGUGGCCUUUUGCAGGUACCGCAUGAAUAAGGACCGGCUAAUUCCGUGCCAGCAGCCGCGGUAAUACGGAAGGUCCGGGCGUUAUCCGGAUUUAUUGGGUUUAAAGGGAGCGUAGGCGGUCUGGUAAGUCAGCUGUGAAAACGCGGGGCUCAACUCCGCGCCUGCAGUUGAUACUGUCGGACUUGAGUGCACGCAGGGAUGCCGGAAUUCAUGGUGUAGCGGUGAAAUGCUUAGAUAUCAUGAAGAACUCCGAUCGCGAAGGCAGGUGUCCG